UUCUUGGGCUCCACAUCCAUGGACUGUGGAUCAAGCCUUCCAGAGCAAGGCUGUCCAUACUCCUGGUCCCGGUGUGGAGAGCAGGCCUCUGUUUUUAUUGUCACCAUCUCUCCUAAGGAAGCCUGGGUCUGGUUCAAACAGUCCUUCAAGUUUUCACUCAUGUUCUCGGCGCUGCGGGCGCGGGGGGCCCGCCUCGGCGUCCGGGGACCCGCUCCGCCCGGGGGGGCCCGGCUGGCUGCGCGCUGCCUCCCCGCCGCCCCGCCGGCCCCGCUCGCUAGUCGCAGGCGAGGACGGGUCCCGGGGCCGGGCCGGGCUCGGCGGAGGCGGCGGCGGCUCCCUCCCUCCCGGCCGUGACCACCAUCUUAUUAGCACAGGAAAUGACAUGGAGAACGGAAGAGAGGGGCGUUCGGGGGCCGAGCCCGGGGACCCCCCGAACCGGGGGGAGGCGCCGCCGGCCCGCCCGGCCCGGCCCGCUGGGGCUCCCCGGGGCCGCCGCGCUCCCGCCUUCCUGCAACUGCCCGCCCGGUGCUGGCGCCCGCGGGGAAGCGGGAGGAGGGAGGGGAAAAAAGCCAACAAAACCGCCACAAAACCCGCACAAAGCAGAAAAACAACACCAGCGAAAUCCAAACCGCCCCCGCUUCCCACCUCCUGCUCCGGAGCCUGCGAGUCCCGCGCGGAGCCGGCGGCGAUCUGUAGCCGCCCCGGGCGGGCAGGGGCUCGGGGGGGUGGGGGGGGCGCUUUUAAGGACUGAAGCGGCUCCCGGGCAGGGCGCGGGGGGAGCCCGCGGCUCAGGGGCUCGGCCCGGCCCGGCUCGGAGGGGCUGCCCCGCGCUGGCCCCGCGCCGCUCUCCCGCAGCGGCCGCCGCUAGCACCUGCCGCCGGGCCGGGCUGCGGGAGCCGCGGGGAGCCGAGCCCCGGGCUGCUCCGCCGGCCCCGGCGCGAGUCGGAGCGGCCCCCGGCGGGCGGGGGGGGCCCCCGCCCCCCGGUGCCGUCUCGUCCCGCGGGGGACGCGAGGUUCUGUGUUCGCAGAGCUCCGCUGCUUUCGGCCCACCGCCCCAUAAAGCUGCCCGUCAGACAGCAGUGCCACAGCGAGCUCUGCCCCCAGCUCUGCCAUGAGGCCGGGGGCAGCUCGCUGACUGACAAAAAGUAGGCGUAAUUUAAUAAACAGAGGAAGCGUGUCUCACCAAUAAAACGAAUUCUAAAUAAAACCAUCUGCAAGCAUUAAGCUUGAAACAAUGCAAACUGCUUGGCUGCCCUGCCAAAAGAGGCACGGUGGGGGGUAAAGAAGGGGGUAGAUAAAUG
rnacentral:lncRNA from 1 species